GUGAAUGGUGGCAUAAUGAACAGCUAGUGGCCAGAGUGAACAGUAAGCAGCUGGAGGAAGGAGCAAGGUGCCUUCUUGCCCCCCACAUGAAAGCACCUCUGAACUCUGAGUCUCCACUAACCAAGUGAAAACCUGGCUACGCCACUGCCUAAGAGAGGUGACAACUGAGGAGCUGGGAGCCUAAAGGAAGGAUCACAGAAAGGGAAUUAAGAUAAGCCACGCUGUUCCCUUGUGGAGUGCAGAAGCCAACGGAGGAGAUGAAUCAGAAGGAAAAGGGAGAGGAAAACAAGCAGCCCUGGUGCAAAGCCAUGCACUAAAAUUAUUCUGAGAGACCUUAAUUUUAGAAGUUUUCUAAAUGGGAGAGCAUACAGCGGCUGGCUCUCACUUACGGUUUACAAAGAAGUUUACUUGUGUGGUUCUUUAUUACCUUGCAGUUAUU